ACGAACGCUGGCGGCGCGCUUAACACAUGCCAGUCGAGCGCUGAAAUUUCGACAGAUCCCUUCGGGGUGAAGAUGAAAUGGAUUAGCGGCGGACGGGUGAGUAACACGUGAGUAACCUGCCUUUGACAUUGGGAUAGCCUCGGGAAACUGGGAUUAAUACCAAAUGACACUAACUGAUCACAUGAUCAAUUAGUCAAAGAAAUUCGGUCAAAGAUGGACUCGCGGCUGAUUAGCUAGUUGGUGAGGUAACGGCCCACCAAGGCGACGAUCAGUAGCCGGCCUGAGAGGGUGAUCGGCCACAUUGGAACUGAGACACGGUCCAAACUCCUACGGGAGGCAGCAGUGGGGAAUAUUGCACAAUGGGGGAAACCCUGAUGCAGCGACGCCGCGUGAGCGAAGAAGGCCUUCGGGUCGUAAAGCUCUUUUAUGAGGGAAGAUAAUGACGGUACCUCAAGAAAAAGCCCCGGCUAACUACGUG
rnacentral:rRNA from 1 species